CUCAGUUUAUAUUUACACCUCAAAAAGUGACUAUUUUUGUAGCUCUGACGCCCACAUGAAGCAGCAGUCGUCAGAGAAACGUCAGAGGAGAGGUGUGUGUGUGUGUGUGUGUGUGUGUGUGUGUGUGUGUGUGUGUGUGUGUUUUGAGAAUUUGAGCCCUGCAAUAUGUUCAGACUUAAGUAUAAAUCUUGUUAUUUCACCAUUUUUUAAUUGCAGUAAAUCCAGCUAGUAUUAUUUAAUGCCAUUUUCACCAUAAUUACUAGGGGGGAAAGUAGCAUAAGUAUUCAUCCCCUUUGAACUUCUCAAUUCAGUAUUCAUCCCCUUUUGAACGAUCUCAAAUUAUUUCUUCAUGUUCCUGAAAGAACCCAGAGUUAGUUAGAGAACAUACCUAAACACGUCUGGGACAAAGUUCUGAAAGAAAAGCUAUCAAUCAGGGUUUGGUUGAAGGAGGUGUGGCCUUUGUAUCUGUCAGUCAGCAUGAAGGAGGUGUGGCCUUUGUAUCUGUCAGUCAAAGUGAAGCAGUUGUUGCCUUUGUAUAUGUCAGUCAGAGUGAAGGAGGUGUGGCCUUUAUAUCUGUCAGUCAGAGUGAAGGAGGUGUGGCC
ensembl:lncRNA